UGAACAAAAAGAAAGAAAGAAAAGGUUUCCUUCUGAGAGUACUUUUCUGUCAUUUAAUCCGUUUACAUGUUUCUUUACUCUUACCUUUCUUGCUUGCUUUCUGACCACCAGGGAUACAAUGUUAGCACAGGGUCACUGGGGCUCUGUCCAGCUCUAGACAGAUGUUGCUAUAGUCAGAGUUUUAUGAUGACAGAAUGAGAUUUCCAGAAUGCACUGGUGAGUUCCAUGGCAAUUGUUAAGCUUGUCAUUUAGAGGAAAUGAAAGGAAGUCAUUGAUUACUUUCAACACUCACUAUCUUUGCUUUGAGUGUGUAAAAUGCUUUUGUAUUUCCCAUCCAAAACUAACAGACAGUAGCCCCCCAAAAUAGGCCACAUUAUUCAUAGUCCAAGAUUCUCAGGCAUCAUAAUUUACGCUGAGCUGAAAGAAAUUAUGACUUUUAAAAGGAGUUCAGUCUUGCUAGACAAGUAAGGGGAAUUAAUUGAAUGAAAAUGCAAAAUUAAAUGCAAAUGAUGAAUUUGGCUAAUUUCUUCUUCUUCCAAUGUUCCAGUAUAUUCCUCUGACCGUUCUCCAGGAACAUUGCUUAAAAUAACAGCUGUGAAUUAUAGGUCUCCAGUAAGUACAAAGUUGGUGGGUUUUUUUCUUCUUCUUUUUCUUCUUCUUUUUAAGGAAAAGCAUCUGAUGAACAGUUGCCUCAAUGAUUUAGAGGACUCAUUCCAGGUUUUAAUAAUCCCAUGUGGCUUUAAAAUAUUUUAAUACUUUUCUUCAACAUGUUUCCCACUAUAUAAAUGUGAAAUUAGUGGGACAAUUGAAAUGGGAGGAACAAGAUUCUCAUUCUUCAGUAUAACAAGUAUUUUUAGGGAUCAGGAUGAACACACAGAUCUCCAGCAAGAAAUGGAAACUGAAAUUUUGAGACUUCAGAUCAAAACUUUGAAAAUGAUUUUUAACUCUGCUUCCAUAACUGGUGGGCUCAUCAGUCUCCUCACAACAGUAAGAAUUUGCCUUCAAGUUAUCAUCAAGAAGCAGGCUUUCCUGACUGACAGUCAUUCCCAUAGAAACAUCUUUACCCCAGAGGAUACAAGUGGAAACAUCAAAGAAGAAGAACAGAGAGUACAUUUAAGAACAUCUGGUAUAACAUCAAGAAAAUCUGUCUACAAGACAAGCAAAGUCCAUCUCCUUUCCUGGCCUCUGCAUUGAGAUGCAUCAGAGAAGUCAUUUACUACAAGUGGUUGAAUCAGGAAUUUAACUCAUAAAGCC
rnacentral:lncRNA from 1 species